CAAGUACUCCCUCCGUCCGGAAUUACUUGUCAUCAAAAUGGAUGUGUCUAGAACUAAAAUACAUCUAGAUACAUCCAUUUCAACGACAAGUAUUUUCGGACGAAGGGAGUACAAG
rfam:Triticum aestivum genome assembly, contig: Triticum_aestivum_CS42_TGACv1_scaffold_470884_6AL